UAUUCUGGUACGAUAAGUUUGCCUUCAGGUUUAUCUUGCUUUUCAGUCUGGAGAUACAAAUAUAUAAAUGUAGUAGAAAUUUAUAGGUACGUAGAAGCGAAAACAGAAGAUAGAUUUGUUAUAAAUUUCUUUCAACUAUAAUCAAGAAAGCAAGCACCAAGGGAAAUUGGUAUUAAGAACAGGUCAAGAAAUCUGGAUAAAAGAGAAAUUCAAUUUAUCCAAAUCAGUUGUCAAAACUCUGCUUGAUAUCAAAAUGUUGUCUGCUUUUUGUUUUUUGUUGUUUGUUUGUUUUUUUUUUUUUUUUUUAAAAGGAAUUGCUGAAAUUUCUCAGCCAACACUUUGCGCAAAUGUACAGGUUUGGGAGACUCACAUUCAUUUUAGCAAGGCACUUUCUGUGCUCCAUUAUUUUAAUAGGAACUUCCUAUAAUCAAAGGAUUGAUUGUUCCCUGGGUCAUUCGUGACUCUGAAUUUCACUGAUCCUGGCAUGAACUUUUGAAGGUAUUUGAGUGUGGCCUCCUAGUCUCAGUGUGAAAAGUAUUCACGGCCAAAUAAAUGAACUCUCGAAGUCUUCUUGCGGCACUAGAUUAUAACAGAUUAAAACCCGAACCACACUUUUUAUAGACAGCCCCCUCUUUUUAAAAGUUAUUCCAGAGUUCAAAGUCCUGGUCAUAAAUCUCAUGGCAUUAUAGGACAUGUAUUACCCAGAGGAAAGCACAAAUCAAUAGCCAGACCCCGAUGUCUCCAUAAACCCCAUAUGUGCCCUGUUUAUAGCAGUGAAAUUUCUUACACUUUGGCUGGGGUGCUUCUCCCAUACAGUGGGAUUUCAGUACAAAUUCAUACUUCUGGCAGCAACGCAAGGCCAGGCAAUAUUAGCAAAUUUUGUGCUGGUAGGAUGAGGUUCCUGAUGAGUAUUUUCUCAUUGACUAAAAAUUUCUAUUAUUCUUAUCAGCUGUUCAGUUUGCUGAUACAGAGUGUUUCAGAGCAACUGGUUUUACCAGCCGUGUUACAUUUUCUUUGAGAGGUUCUUUCCUCAGGUAAAGACUCCACACUGGAUUUCCUUUGUUUGAAAGGAAAAUAGAUUUUCUGUCUUUGGAGAAAAUGGAGAAUCUCUGAAGAACUUGAAAAAUACAAAAUUAGCGGGAGAGCGUUUCUAGCAGUUGUAAGACAAGUUUGUAGUUCUAUAAAAGCAAAAAUCCCAACACAAUGGCAAUUACGGGUACUCUGAUGAACGCAUAUUUACCGAGCUGUGUAAUGUUUCCCGCGUUUAUCUCCUAGUACUUCUGAGAUACAUGAAUGGUCAGGGCUGAACUGCCUUGACUUCAAAGGUUGGAAUAUUUUACAGCUUCAUCUGCUGAAUCAUGUUGGUUUUGCUCCACUUCUGCAGAGGCGCCGCCUGCAAAAGCCACAUUUUUUUGCUUUUCUGCCCAUCCACACCUUGUCUCUUCUUCACCUUCCCUCUUCCCCAGAAGCUGUACAGCUUCAGAGCAUGUCCUGGUAAUCCAGACACCGACAGACACUGGCCAAGAUCCUAAUCCAAACCCAGAUCUAAAUUAUCCAGCUGCAUUUACACUAAUAAUAAUAAUAAUAAUAAUAAUAAAAAACCCUAAUGUGUUUUGCCUAUGUUUAGCAAAUAACACCGCAGGCUAAAUUGCCAGCUCCAGAUACCCCCAGAUUUAACGAGUUGGUAAUUUGAUGUUGAAACUUGGGAAAUUUUGAUAAAUGGGGAUGCUGCUGUCAGUGCCGGGAGCUGUAGAAUUUAUGGAUGAAAUGGGAUUUUAUCAGCGAC